GACGAACGCUGGCGGCGUGCUUAACACAUGCAAGUCGAACGAAGUGGCGAACGGGUGAGUAACGCGUAAUCAACCUGCCCUUCAGAGGGGGACAACAGGUGGAAACGACUGCUAAUACCGCAUACUGAAGGAGGGGAUUGCGUCUGAUUGGCUAGUUUGGGGGGUAACGGCCCACCAAGGCGAUGAUCAGUAGCCGGUCCGAGGAGGUGGACGGCCACAAUUGGACUGGGACACCGCCCAGACUCCUUACGGGGGCAACAGUUGGGGAACUUCCGCAAUUGAGGGAAGGCUGGCGGGGCAACGCCGCGUGAGUGGAUGCGGCCUUCGGGUUGUUAAGCUCUUUUAAUCAGGACGCGGUACCUAAAUAGAAAGCCACGGCUAACUACGUGCCAGCAGCCGCGGUAAUUC
rnacentral:rRNA from 1 species